rnacentral:rRNA from 1 species
AGGAUAAACGCUGGCGGCGUGCCUAACACAUGCAAGUCGAACGCGCUUUCGGGCUUCGGUGCGAGAGCGAGUGGCGGACGGGUGAGUAACACAUGGGUACCUACCUUGGAGUGAGGGAUACCGGCGAGAAAUCGCCGACAAUACCGCAUAGGCUUCUUCACAAGGGAAGCAAAGUGACGCGAGUCACGCUUUGAGAUGGGCCUGUGGCCGAUUAGCUAGUUGGGGGGGUAACGGCUUCCCAAGGCGACGAUCGGUAGCUGGUCUGAGAGGACGAUCAGCCACACUGGGAUUGAGAACGGCCCAGACUCCUACGGGGGGCAGCAGUGAGGAAUUUUCCGCAAUGGAGGCAACUCUGACGGAGCAACGCCGCGUGCAGGAGGAAGGUUUUCGGAUCGUAAACUGCUUUUCGUCGGGGUACGAGCGAAGGACGGUACCCGAGGAACGAAGCCCCGGCUAACUACGUGCCAGCAGCCGC